GACGAACGCUGGCGGCGUGCUUAACACAUGCAAGUCGAACGGAAAGGCCCUGCUUUGUUGGGGUGCUCGAGUGGCGAACGGGUGAGUAACACGUGAGUAACCUGCACUUGACUGUGGGAUAACUUCAGGAAACUGGGGCUAAUACCGGAUAGGAGCUCCUGCUGCAUGGUGGGGGUUGGAAAGUUUCGGCGGUUGGGGGUGGACUAGCGGCUCAUCAGCUUGUUGGUGGGGUAGUGGCUGACCAAGGCUUUGACGGGUAGCCGGCCUGAGAGGGUGAGCGGCUCAACUGGGCCUGGGCUACGGCCCAGACCAGUCCCGGACGGAGGGGUGCAGUAUAGUGCACUAUGCGCGGGAGCCUGGUGUAGCCAAGCCGCGUGGGGGAUGAGGGGCAUGGGGUUGGAUAGUGAUUUCGUCUGUCCCGGAGUGUGAGUGACGGUACCGGGUAAAGAAGCACCGGCUAACUACGUG
rnacentral:rRNA from 1 species